rnacentral:rRNA from 1 species
AUUGAACGCUGGCGGCAUGCUUUACACAUGCAAGUCGAACGGUAACAGGCCGCAAGGUGCUGACGAGUGGCGAACGGGUGAGUAAUGCAUCGGAACGUGCCCAGUCGUGGGGGAUAACGCAGCGAAAGCUGUGCUAAUACCGCAUACGAUUUAUGGAUGAAAGCGGGGGACCGUAAGGCCUCGCGCGAUUGGAGCGGCCGAUGUCAGAUUAGGUAGUUGGGGGGGUAAAGGCCCACCAAGCCCACGAUCUGUAGCUGGUCUGAGAGGACGACCAGGCACACUGGGAGUGAGACACGGCCCAGACUCCUACGGGAGGCAGCAGUGGGGAAUUUUGAACAAUGGGCGCAAGCCUGAUCCAGCAAUGCCGCGUGCAGGAAGAAGGCCUUCGGGUUGUAAACUGCUUUUGUACGGAACGAAACGGUCUGGGUUAAUACCCUGGGCUAAUGACGGUACCGUAAGAAUAAGCACCGGCUAACUACGUGCCAGCAGCCACGGUAAGAC